UUCUCGACUCACCGACAUCGCAAUUCACCGACAUUGUUUUAUUUUGUCGGUGAAUUGCGAUGUCGGUGAGUCGAGAG
rnacentral:pre_miRNA from 1 species